rnacentral:rRNA from 1 species
AUUGAACGCUGGCGGAAUGCUUUACACAUGCAAGUCGAACGGCAGCACGGACUUCGGUCUGGUGGCGAGUGGCGAACGGGUGAGUAAUGUAUCGGAACGAGCCCAGUCGUGGGGGAUAACGUAGUGAAAAUUACGCUAAUACCGCAUACGAUCUAUGGAUGAAAGCGGGGGAUCGCAAGACCUCGCGCGAUUGGAGCGGCCGAUAUCAGAUUAGGUAGUUGGUGGGGUAAAGGGCCACCAAGCCAACGAUCUGUAGCUGGGCUGAGAGGACGACCAGCCACACUGGAACUGAGACACGGUCCAGACUCCUACGGGAGGCAGCAGUGGGGAAUUUUGGACAAUGGGCGAAAGCCUGAUCCAGCCAUUCCGCGUGCAGGAUGAAGGCCCUCGGGUUGUAAACUGCUUUUGUACAGAACGAAAAGGUUUCUACUAAUACUAGGAGCUCAUGACGGUACUGUAAGAAUAAGCACCGGCUAGCUACGUGCCAGCCGCCGCGGUAA